CAGCCGCGGUAAUUCCAGCUCCAAUAGCGUAUAUUAAAGUUGUUGCAGUUAGAACGCUCGUAGUCGGAUUUCGGGGCAGUCCGACCGGUCUGCCGAUGGGUAUGCACUGGCCGGAGUGUCCUUUUUGCCGGAGACCGUGCCUACUCUUAACUGAGCGGGGGCGGGAGACGGCACUUUUACUUUGAAAAAAUCAGAGUGUUUCAAGCAGGCAGCUCGCUCUUGCAUGGAUUAGCAUGGGAUAAUGAAAUAGGACUUUGGUGCUAUUUUGUUGGUUUCGAACACCGAAGUAAUGAUGAGAAGGGACAGUCAGGGGCACUCGUAUUCCGCAGAGAGAGGUGAAAUUCUCAGACCCGCGGAAGACGAACCACUGCGAAAGCAUUUGCCAGGGAUGUUUUCACUGAUCAAGAACGAAAGUUAGGGGAUCGAAGAUGAUCAGAUACCGUCGUAGUCUUAACCAUAAACCAUGCCGACUAGGGAUUGGAGGAUGUUCACUGAUUGACUCCUUCAGCACCUUACGGGAAACUAAAGUCUUUGGGUUCCGGGGGGAGUAUGGUCGCAAGGCUGAAACUUAAAGGAAUUGACGGAAGGGCACCACCAGGUGUGGAGCCUGCGGCUUAAUUUGACUCAACACGGGGAAACUUACCAGGUCCAGACAUUGUGAGGAUUGACAGAUUGAGAGCUCUUUCUUGAUUCGAUGGGUGGUGGUGCAUGGCCGUUCUUAGUUGGUGGAGUGAUUUGUCUGGUUAAUUCCGUUAACGAACGAGACCUUAGCCUGCUAAAUAGUGACGCGAACUCUUUGUUGGCGGGCCACUUCUUAGAGGGACAACUUGUCUUCAACAAGUGGAAGUUUGAGGCAAUAACAGGUCUGU
rnacentral:rRNA from 1 species